GUAUAAGAGACAGCAGUCGCCACGGUAAUACAGAGGGUGCGAGCGUUAAUCGGAUUUACUGGGCGUAAAGCGUGCGUAGGCGGCUUCUUAAGUCGGAUGUGAAAUCCCUGAGCUUAACUUAGGAAUUGCAUUCGAUACUGGGAAGCUAGAGUAUGGGAGAGGAUGGUAGAAUUCCAGGUGUAGCGGUGAAAUGCGUAGAGAUCUGGAGGAAUACCGAUGGCGAAGGCAGCCAUCUGGCCUAAUACUGACGCUGAGGUACGAAAGCAUGGGGAGCAAACAGGAUUAGAUACCCCUGUAGUCCCUGUCUCUUAUAC
rnacentral:rRNA from 1 species